CUGAUGUUGUAAUAGGAGUUUGUCCGGAAAAAAUUUUUUUGAACCUUAGUUUAACUAAUGUUCAACCAGAAAAUUUUUUUGACCCUUAAUAUAUACAGCUUUUUUGCUUACUUAUAUUCAUCUGCUAUUCAAGAGCAUUCAGAAAUUGUGGGUGGGGUGGGCAGAAUUUGUUCCACUCUAUACUUGUGUUAUCAUAACAUGAUAACAGUGGUAAGUUUGUGCAUGGAUAGCAACAGUCAAAAACAUGCAUUAGUUCGCUGAUUGGAAUUCCCCUUAAAGUUGCAUUGCUCCCUACUUUAUUACUUUACUCUGUCUAAUGCAAAAUGAUUUUACUUGUCAAAGGAGAGUGCAAGUGCUCAAUGUGUUAAUCAUGCUAUCUUGAAGGGUUUUUGUAGAUGGAAAUUCUGAGCAGAAGAUUACAUACUUUUUUAUAUCUAACCAGGAGCAGCUGAAAAAAUGCAACUUACUAUAGGCCCUAUGUCAGGAAUGGAGCCUGCAGCUCUGUGAUUCCGGUGCAGCACUCUAACCAACUGAGCUACGUACACAGUCCAGUUGUUGAGCUCUAGCAGACAUU